rnacentral:lncRNA from 1 species
ACGCCCCCACUUUAAGCCAGUUUAAUACUUCCGUUUUGAAAAAGUACUAACGUGCUUAUGUAUAUUUUUAAUGAAAUGGUAAAAUUAGUAUACGUUAAUGAAAUAGCAAUAACCAAAUAACGCUUGAUAUGGACACGUUUUGGGGAUUGGACACGUUUGGGGGCUAGUUGAGAAAUGGACACGUUUGGGCGUUUAUACAAAUGACACGUUUUGGCGCAGUUUUCAACUAGACAUGUUUGGGGGAAUCGGACACGUUUGGGGGGAAGGACACGUUUCUGAGUGUUACAUAUAUAUAGGUAGAUCCUGAUGAUCUAAAUAAAAGCUUUUGUGUGCUGUCCUAGGUUGUUUUACAUGUUUGUUUUUAUUCUGUGGUUAGCAUGUCAAAAUGUACUAUUGUAUUAUUUGUGUACUUCUCUGUCCUGAAUGUUCUUGAAUUUAUUUGUACUGUAUUCCUG